AUCACACUGUCAUGCCGUUACGUAGCGGGGGGUCCGUA
rnacentral:ribozyme from 1 species